rnacentral:lncRNA from 1 species
GGAGCGUCGGCGCCGAGGGGCGGGGGAUUGCGGAGGAGGUGGCUCCCACCCUUGGUCCUCCGCCGCCGGGUCGCGAUGAGGCUUUGACCCGGCUCCCUUUCAGAGCGAAGGGACGUGUGAUAGCUAUCCACACCUGUUCCAGCUGUAACAGCAACUAAAAGUAACCCCGCCUUAUAUGAACUGCUGCUACACUGAGUUUGGCAUCCACUAUUAGCCCUUAAUCAUACUGUCCUGAGGUGUUUGGGAUUGUAUCAUGUAGGCCAGUCUUAGCUCUCUAAUUAGAUGGAUAAAUAUUGAGGAGUGAUAUUGCCGAGCCAUAUGAUAUUAAGCAUCUCCAAGACACUGAGCUGAGGACCAUGGGAGAGGUGACCAAGAUGUUGGACAGGAGCCCUGCCUCCAAGGAGCUUGCUAUUUAGAGUUGAGUAGGAGAACGGAGAAUCAUACAUAAAUGCCUAGACCACAAGAUAGAAAGUGAUGAGGCUGUGGUGGACUCAAGAUGGCCGACGACUCUUUACUACUAGAGGCAGGGUUGUGUUCUCCUGCCCUUGAACCCAACUGGCCCUGUGGCUUGUCUGGACUAACGAAUGAGCCACAGUAAAGCUGUGACUUCUGAGCUGGCCCUCAAGAGAUCUGCACCUUCUGCCUUUGCUGCUUGGAAUACUCCCUCUUAAAAGCCAUGAAAGUAGUUCAACCUCCCCGAGACCACCAUGUUUGAGGAAGCCCAAAUUAGCCACAUGGAGGGGAGUGCCUGUGGAGGAUGCUGAUCAGGAUGCUGCUCCUAGUCUCAUUCAUAGGAAAUACACACUGAAGUAUUUAGAUGUUAAGGGACCAAAUAUAUGCAACUGACUCUCAAAUACUUCAGAUAAAAUAGUCUGUCACUGAUAUAUUCCAUGACGUAAUGUAAUAUAAACAUAGAAAGUGUGCAAAU